CCCUUAGAUGUUCUGGGCUGCACGCGCGCUACACUGAUGCGAUCAACAAGUUUUUCCUAUGUCGAUAGACACGGGUAAUCUUUUGAACUCGCAUCGUGAUGGGGAUAGAUUAUUGUAAUUAUUAAUCUUCAACGAGGAAUUCCUAGUAGGUGCAAAUCAUCAGUUUGCAUCGAUUACGUCCCUGCCCUCUGUACACACCGCCCGUCGCUGCUACCGAUUGGUUGAUCUGGUGAAUUAUUCGGACUGCCGGCUGAAGGGGUUUCCUCAUCUGCCAGCGGAAAGUCUUGUUAACCCUAUCAACUAGAGGAAGCAGAAGUCGUAACA
rnacentral:rRNA from 1 species